UACGUAGGAGGCAAGCGUUGUCCGGAAUUACUGGGCGCAAAGCGCGUGUAGGUGGUGGGACAAGUCUGCUGUGAAAGCGCCUGGCUUAACCGGGCGAGGUCGGCGGAAACUGUUCGACUCGAGGACGGUAGAGGGGGGUGGAAUUCCCGGUGUAGUGGUGAAAUGCGUAGAGAUCGGGAGGAACACCUGUGGCGAAGGCGGCCCCCUGGGCCGGCCCUGACACUGAGACGCGAAGGCGUGGGGAGCGAACGGG
rnacentral:rRNA from 1 species